CCCAUCAAAUUUGGAUUUAAUAUUUAUGAGAUGUUUAAUUAGUAAUUUAAUCACUAAUUAACUCAAUUUGAUUGAGUAAUUAUUUUUGGAUCAAGUCCAAUUGAAUUGGAUUCAAUUGGGUUUGACCUGAUUAGGUUAAGUGUUGACCUAAUCAUCGAAGUGGUUUGGUCCCUGAUUUGAUCAGGGGUUGGGCUUAGUCAAUUUUUGAUUUGAUUAGAAUUUUAUUGAUCUUAAUUAAGUUAAUUAUAUUGAGUUUAAUUUAGUCUAAUUAUGCUUAACCUAUUUUGAUUAGGU
rnacentral:lncRNA from 1 species